rnacentral:misc_RNA from 1 species
AGAAAAACGAAAUAUCCAAGUAGAGGUUAUAAGAGACGGCAGAAGGGAUAAAAUUUCAAUAUACGAAAUUGUUGUUGGUGAUUUUGUUCCUCUCAGGAUAGGCGAUCAGGUUCCUGCAGAUGGAGUCUUGAUCUCUGGUCAUUCUCUGGCAAUUGAUGAGUCUAGCAUGACUGGUGAAAGCAAGAUUGUAAACAAAAAUCAAAAGGCACCUUUCUUGAUGGCUGGUUGCAAGGUAGCAGAUGGUGCUGGAACCAUGCUUGUAACUGGUGUAGGAAUCAAUACUGAAUGGGGAUU